CUGUAGACAAUUGGCAGCAGGAGAGCAGCAGCUGUCACACUCUUCAGAUACCUCUCUAUUUAAAGUUCAAAGAGGCACAGGAUAACAAUAAGGAAGAAAGACUCGUGGCCCUGACUAAGCCACCCAACAAUAGAAAGAAUGGCUGAGAAAGAGUCAGCGUCACCACAGCUCAUGGUUCCCAUUCUUCUCCUGGUUGGAUGGAUUGUAGGCUGCAUUAUAGUGGUUUACAUUGUCUUCUUCUAGAAAAGCAAGAAGACUUCAAACUGACACCAUUUAGAAGAAUUAAAAAAAAAUCAGGAACACGACUGAUCAUUAAAGGUGUCUUGUAUUAAAUAGCUGUUGUAUUUCCUGUCUUUUGGAAAUUAGAAUUUAUCUACAUGAGAAUACCUUAAGAAUUUGCUUGAAAUUACAGAUAAGUAUUGAAGAAAAUGAUACAAGCUGAAGAGAUGGGUUAGCAGUUUAGAAUACUGACUGCUGGGUUGGGGAUUUAGCUCAGU
rnacentral:lncRNA from 1 species